CCAUUGUAAUUUUUUCUUUCUAAUAGCCAUCUUUACUAGCUGUUAAAUGCCAUUCUUACUAAGUCCUUUGCACAGCUAUGAUUUUUUCACCUUAUUAAGGUGCCAUGCUUUUGAUGAGUGUUAUAAUGAAGUGUUUACCCAGAAAUUUCAUGUAUGGAAUAAUUCACAGUAUAAUUCAGUCUAUCCAAUUUGUGGUGCUUGCUAGUUGUCUCUGGUAUAGUUUCUCUCCAUUUUUUGAGUAUUGGAUUAGUUCGACAUGCAAUUAUUUGCAACCAUACUACUGUAUGGGUCAUUUUAUUUUUGUCAUAGUUUGAGGAAAUGCCAUGUUAUUUGGUAUAUCAUGAAAAAAGAAAGCCAUUUGCACCAAGCAUAUUGCAUUUUCCCUUGCCCAGAUGUUCGCCAUUGUAUGUCAAGCAAUGUUGACCUGCCGAAGCCUCAAGCCCCAAGGGCACCAUCUUCUAGCCUUUAGUAGUCCAAGUUCUUUGCAACCAUUCUACCAUAUGGGUUCAUUUUAUUUUUAUGUCAUAGUCUGAGGAAAUUUCAUUUUACUUCGUUUUUUUUUUUUUUUUUUAAUUUCAAGAAAAUUUAUGAGGAGGUAUUUCUUUGGAAAAUUGGGGAUGCUUAUCUGUCUACUUAGAAUGUGAAUCUAUGCUGGUAGUUAAAGAUAUUCAUUGGAUAGAUGGACUUCUUUUCUAAUAUGAUAGUGUGCUUGCACUAUUAAGGUAGGAGGGACUAGGGAGUAUGAUUUUGGAGGAAACUACACUAGAUAUGCCCAGUGGAAUAUUUUUCUUUCUUGCCAUGAAGUCUUUCACUCUCUCUUCUUUUUGUGCAUAUCAGAGUCGGUUCAACUCCCACUUUCACACUUCUUGCACUUUGUCUGCUUUUAAGUGCUUACUUUUGUUCGUGCCAGCUUAGCAAAGACUCUGUAAUAUAAUAUAAAACUGCAAACCCUCUACCAAUUAUUACAACUUAUUUUCUGGAUGCGCAAGUCUUCAUCUGGAUGAAUGUAGUUAGAUGUGUUCCUGUGUACUUCACCAUUUUACACUAUUUGAUUUUAUUUCUUCAACUGGCUCCAUGUUUGUGAGCUGCUGUUAACAAAUUGUUAUUGUUUGAGGCAAAGGCAAGAUGUGAGGUCUCCACACCUUCAUUUUCCCUAGGGCUUUAAUGCUUCUCCAGCUGUGAUGACUGAUUUGAAGACCAAACUUAAGUGACUAUUAAGUAGUAGUUUACGAGGCAAACGUGAUGGACCCAACUCCUGCCAAAGUCUUGAGGUGAAAUGUGGAACACUUAUGCUCCUGAAAAUGUGAGGAAUUGGCCUGACUAGUAGGAAAUCCUCGAGGUGUUCACUUUCCAGCCUAGAUACUCCGGACCACAUGCAUAUCCAACUUUGAGGUUGUGGCUGUUAGCUCUUGGAGUUUAACCUUCUACACUUGGAUAUAUGACAGCACUUCAAUCUUAAUGUUUAGUCAUCUGAACUCUCUUGCUAAGUUGUGAAAGCUUAUUGGCUCGAGCCAUAUUUUACUUUCCAAAAAUUUGUUAUUAAUGUGAAGAUGGCAUAAAUGAUUGACGUGAUAAAAGACCACGGUUACCUUAGUCCUUGGUUGACUUAAAGGAAAGGUUGUAGAAGUUACUUCGUUUAAAUUUCCCAUCUGUAUUCUUCAAGCAAGUAUAUGUGGUCAAUCAGGUUUCUAAUUGA